UAGGGAAUCUUCCACAAUGGGCGCAAGCCUGAUGGAGCAACACCGCGUGAGUGAAGGAGGGUUUCGGCUCGUAAAGCUCUGUUGUUAAAGAAGAACACGUAUGAGAUUAACUGUUCAUACGUUGACGGUAUUUAACCAGAAAGUCACGGCUAACUACGUGCCAGCAGCCGCGGUAAUACGUAGGUGGCAAGCGUUAUCCGGAUUUAUUGGGCGUAAAGAGAGUGCAGGCGGUUUUCUAAGUCUGAUGUGAAAGCCUUCGGCUUAACCGGAGAAGUGCAUCGGAAACUGGAUAACUUGAGUGCAGAAGAGGGUAGUGGAACUCCAUGUGUAGCGGUGGAAUGCGUAGAUAUAUGGAAGAACACCAGUGGCGAAGGCGGCUACCUGGUCUGCAACUGACGCUGAGACUCGAAAGCAUGGGUAGCGAACAGGAUUAGAUACCCUGGUAGUCCAUGCCGUAAACGAUGAGUGCUAGGUGUUGGAGGGUUUCCGCCCUUCAGUGCCGGAGCUAACGCAUUAAGCACUCCGCCUGGGGAGUACGACCGCAAGGUUG
rnacentral:rRNA from 1 species